AUGAACAGAUCCAGGGUCAGGUUGUCGUACUCCACGGGCACGCCGUCCAGACGGGGGAGGAACUGCUCUGGGGAGUAGAGAGCUUUCUGCCUGUGCAGCCUGUGGAUAACACCGCAUCGGUUAUUCAAGCAGCCUGGCCUGCAGCUGUCUCACCAUCACUUGCCUCUUCCACUCGGCAAUGGGACGGCCUCUCUCAUCGUGGGUGGGCACCAGGUGUGGGUGAAGCUGAAGGUGAGGCGGGCGCAGGAGGGUAUCUGGCCUGCGGGGAGUCCUCACUCUCGGGUCGCUGGUUUGGAAAAACAAGGAGACACAGCGCAUUUGCU